rnacentral:rRNA from 1 species
UACGUAGGGUGCAAGCGUUGUCCGGAAUUAUUGGGCGUAAAGAGCGUGUAGGCGGCCAGGUAGGUCUGCUGUGAAAACUCGAGGCUUAACCUCGAGACGUCGGCGGAAACCAUCUGGCUAGAGUCCGGAAGAGGAGAGUGGAAUUCCUGGUGUAGCGGUGAAAUGCGCAGAUAUCAGGAAGAACACCCGUGGCGAAGGCGGCUCUCUGGGACGGUACUGACGCUGAGACGCGAAAGCGUGGGGAGCGAACAGG